rnacentral:rRNA from 1 species
AUUGAACGCUGGCGGCAGGCCUAACACAUGCAAGUCGAACGCGUGGCGGACGGGUGAGUAAUGUCUGGGAAACUGCCUGAUGGAGGGGGAUAACUACUGGAAACGGUAGCUAAUACCGCAUAACCUCGUAUGUGCCCAGAUGGGAUUAGCUAGUAGGUGGGGUAACGGCUCACCUAGGCGACGAUCCCUAGCUGGUCUGAGAGGAUGACCAGCCACACUGGAACUGAGACACGGUCCAGACUCCUACGGGAGGCAGCAGUGGGGAAUAUUGCACAAUGGGCGCAAGCCUGAUGCAGCCAUGCCGCGUGUAUGAAGAAGGCCUUCGGGUUGUAAAGUACUUUCAGCGGGGAGGCGUUACCCGCAGAAGAAGCACCGGCUAACUCCGUGCCAGCAGCCGCGGUAAUUC